rnacentral:rRNA from 1 species
UGACCGGCCACACUGGGGCUGAGACACGGCCCAGACUCCUACGGGAGGCAGCAGUGGGGAAUAUUGGACAAUGGGCGCAAGCCUGAUCCAGCAAUACCGCGUGUGUGAAGAAGGCCCGAGGGUUGUAAAGCACUUUCAAUUGGGAGGAAAAAGGUAAGCUUAAUACGUUUACCCUUGACAUUACCUUUAGAAGAAGCACCGGCUAACUCCGUGCCAGCAGCCGCGGUAAUACGGAGGGUGCGAGCGUUAAUCGGAAUUACUGGGCGUAAAGCGUGCGUAGGCGGCCUGUCAAGUCAGGUGUGAAAGCCCCGGGCUCAACCUGGGAACGGCAUUUGAAACUGGCAAGCUAGAGUUAGGUAGAGGGAAGUGGAAUUUCAGGUGUAGCGGUGAAAUGCGUAGAUAUCUGAAGGAACACCAGUGGCGAAGGCGGCUUCCUGGACCCAAACUGACGCUGAGGUACGAAAGCGUGGGUAGCAAACAGGAUUAGAUACCCUGGUAGUCCACGCCGUAAACGAUGUCGACUAGCCGUUGGGCCCUUAUAGGGUUUAGUGGCGCAGCUAACGCAUUAAGUCGACCGCCUGGGGAGUACGGCCGCAAGGUUAAAACUCAAAUGAAUUGACGGGGGCCCGCACAAGCGGUGGAGCAUGUGGUUUAAUUCGAUGCAACACGAAGAACCUUACCUACCCUUGACAUCCAGUGGAUUCGGCAGAGAUGCCUUAGUGCCUUCGGGAACACUGAGACAGGUGCUGCAUGGCUGUCGUCAGCUCGUGUCGUGAGAUGUUGGGUUAAGUCCCGUAACGAGCGCAACCCUUGCCCUCAGUUGCCAGCGCGUCAUGGCGGGAACUCUGGGGGGACUGCCGGUGAUAAACCGGAGGAAGGUGGGGACGACGUCAAGUCAUCAUGGCCCUUAUGGGUAGGGCUACACACGUGCUACAAUGGCCGGUACAGAGGGCUGCGAACUUGCAAAAGUAAGCCAAUCCCACAAAGCCGGUCCCAGUCCGGAUCGGAGUCUGCAACUCGACUCCGUGAAGUCGGAAUCGCUAGUAAUCGCGGAUCAGAAUGCCGCGGUGAAUACGUUCCCGGGCCUUGUACACACCGCCCGUCACACCAUGGGAGUGGGUUGCAAAAGAAGUAGGUAGUCUAACCUUCGGGAGGGCGCUUACCACUUUGUGGUCCAUGACUGGGGUGAAGUCGGAACAGGGUA